AGCUAAUAGAUACCCCGGUAGUCCACGCCCUAAACGAUGUCUACUAGUUGUUGGUGGAGUAAAAUCCAUGAGUAAACGCAGCUAAACGCGUGAAGUAGACCGCCUGGGGAGUACGGUCGCAAGAUUAAAACUCAAAGGAAUUGACGGGGGCCCGGCACAAGCGGUGGAUUAUGUGGAUUAAAUUCGAUGCAACGCGAAAAACCUUACCUGGCCUUGACAUGCCACUAACGAAGCAGAGAUGCAUUAGGUGCCCGUAAGGGAAAGUGGACACAGGUGCUGCAUGGCUGUCGUCAGCUCGUGUCGUGAGAUGUUGGGUUAAGUCCCGCAACGAGCGCAACCCUUGCCAUUAAUUGCCAUCAUUUAGUUGGGCACUUUAAUGGGACUGCCGGUGACAAACCGGAGGAAGGUGGGGAUGACGUCAAGUCCUCAUGGCCCUUAUGGCCAGGGCUUCACACGUAAUACAAUGGUCGGUACAGAGAGUUGCCAACCCGCGAGGGGGUAGCUAAUCUCAGAAAGCCGAUCGUAGUCCGGAUUGUUCUCUGC
rnacentral:rRNA from 1 species